rnacentral:rRNA from 1 species
UUGAACGCUGGCGGCAUGCCUUACACAUGCAAGUCGAACGGCAGCACGGGAGCAAUCCUGGUGGCGAGUGGCGAACGGGUGAGUAAUACAUCGGAACGUGCCCGGUCGUGGGGGAUAACGUAGCGAAAGCUACGCUAAUACCGCAUACGAUCUACGGAUGAAAGCGGGGGAUCGCAAGACCUCGCGCGAUUGGAGCGGCCGAUAUCAGAUUAGGUAGUUGGUGAGGUAAAGGCUCACCAAGCCGACGAUCUGUAGCUGGUCUGAGAGGACGACCAGCCACACUGGGACUGAGACACGGCCCAGACUCCUACGGGAGGCAGCAGUGGGGAAUUUUGGACAAUGGGCGCAAGCCUGAUCCAGCAAUGCCGCGUGCAGGAUGAAGGCCUUCGGGUUGUAAACUGCUUUGUACGGAACGAAACGGUGAGCUCUAAUACAGUUUGCUAAUGACGGUACCGUAAGAAUAAGCACCGGCUAACUACGUG